rnacentral:rRNA from 1 species
UACAGAGGCCUCGAGCGUUAGGCGGAAUCACUGGGCUUAAAGCGUGUGUAGGCGGACUUCUAAGUACCUUGUGAAAUCCCACGGCUCACCCCGUGGAAACUGCUCGGUAUACUGGUCGUCUUGAGCCUUCUAGGGGCGAGUGGAACAAAUGGUGGAGCGGUGAAAUGCGUAGAUAUCAUUUGGAACGCCAAUGGUGAAAACAACUCGCUGGGGAAGUGCUGACGCUGAGACACGAAAGCCAGGGGAGCGAACGGG